rnacentral:rRNA from 1 species
UCUUGGUCCAUUAAGAGAAAGUAAAAGUCGUAACAAGGUUCCCGUAGGUGAACCUGCGGAAGGAUCAUUAUGGAUUGGGAAUCGUUGCUUUCUGUGUGGGCCAGUUUUUGGGCAAGUGCACGUCGGUGGCUUUCAUCCAAUACCCGUGCCACCUUGGCCUUUUGUUAGUUCGGCCGGCAGAGGAAUUUACACACACUCGAAUGUAAUGAAAUCUAUUGUCGUGCGCAAGCACUAAUGUACAACUUUCAACAACGGAUCUCUUGGCUCUCGCAUCGAUGAAGAACGCAGCGAAAUGCGAUAAGUAAUGUGAAUUGCAGAAUUCAGUGAAUCAUCGAAUCUUUGAACGCACCUUGCACCCUUUGGCAUUCCGAAGGGUAUGCUCGUUUGAGUGUCAUUGUACUCUCACACUCCCGAUGCUUUUGGAUCGGGAGCGGUGGACUUGGGUGUUGCUGCUUACCGUGGCUCGCCUCAAAUGGAGUAGUGCACCUCUUGGUUGGACAUAGUACGGCGUGAUAAGUGUCUUCGCCGGCGCCUCACUUUGUUGAGGGUGGCCGAUCGGGAGCUCUGUGCUUCAAACCGUCUUCGGACAACAACUGACAACUGACCUCAUCUC